CAGAGGAGGCGCCGAGAGCGAGCGAGCGCUGUGAGGACUGCCAGCACCCUGUCACCUCUGAGUAUCAUGGCCAGGAUAUAUGAGCAAAUGAUCAUAGAGGAUCAGAUGAAAGAAGUAGCUUCACGGAACAACCACUGGAGUGGGACAAGAGUAAAAGAGAACAUUCAAAAGCCAUUGCAAGCUGAAAGUCUCCAGUGGAUUGGCUCCUGGGAAAUUCACCGCCUUGGGGCAGAAGGAAGAAUAGGAAAAUUUACUAUUUGAUAGCUUUUCUUCCUAGUGUAAGCAGGAAGCUGUUUAAAGCUAAAUAACCAUGGAGACAGAGGAGUGUAAUUUAUAAGAGUAAAAUUGUAAUUAGCUACAGAAACUUGAAAACUAACUUCUGUGUACUUUUGAAUUGGUUGUGUUUUUUAUUGUCAUCUCCCUUAAAAAUUUCACAUAAAUGAUGGAAUGUAAUUGAAGAAU
rnacentral:lncRNA from 1 species